GCCGAAUUAGCUGCAAUUGGUAGAGCGGGUGAUUUGUAAUCAUCAGGUUGUCGGUUCAAGUCCGGCAUUCGGCA
rnacentral:tRNA from 1 species